rnacentral:other from 1 species
CGAGGGCUGCCUGGUGCGUUGGUCGCAUCAGUCCCUGGGGCCAAUAUCCACCUCUGGGGAGCCGUCUCUGCCAGGAUCGUGGUCCUGGUACAUGGCGCCCACCUGCGUAGCAGGCCACAGAGGACUCGCAAUGCCGACGGCCGAGGCGGCUCCGCU